GGUGAACGCUAGCUACAGGCUUAACACAUGCAAGUCGAGGGGCAGCACAGUGUAGCAAUACAGUGGGUGGCGACCGGCGCACGGGUGCGUAACGCGUAUCCAACCUUCCCGUUACUCUUGGAUAGCCUUCCGAAAGGGAGAUUAAUACCUGAUGGUGUUUGAAUUCCGCAUGUUAUUCAAACUAAAGAUUUAUCGGUAACGGAUGGGGAUGCGUGACAUUAGGUAGAUGGCGGGGUAACGGCCCACCAUGCCUACGAUGUCUAGGGGUUCUGAGAGGAAGGUCCCCCACACUGGGACUGAGAUACGGCCCAGACUCCUACGGGAGGCAGCAGUGGGGAAUAUUGGGCAAUGGGCGAAAGCCUGACCCAGCAACGCCGCGUGAAGGAAGAAGGCCUUCGGGUUGUAAACUUCUUUUACCAGGGACGAACACAAUGACGGUACCUGGAGAAAAAGCAACGGCUAACUACGUG
rnacentral:rRNA from 1 species